rnacentral:rRNA from 1 species
GACGAACGCUGGCGGCGUGCUUAACACAUGCAAGUCGAACGGAAAGGCCCUGCUUUUGUGGGGUGCUCGAGUGGCGAACGGGUGAGUAACACGUGAGUAACCUGCCCUUUACUUUGGGAUAACUUCAGGAAACUGGGGCUAAUACCGGAUAGGAGCUCCUGCUGCAUGGUGGGGGUUGGAAAGUUUCGGCGGUUGGGGCUGGCCCCGCGCCUUUUCAGCUUGUUGGUGGGGUAGUGGCUUACCAAGGCUUUGAAGGGUAUCCGGCCUGAGAGGGUGACCGGCCACAUUGGGAAUGAGAUACGGCACAGACUCCUACGGGAGGCAGAAGUGGGGAAUAUUGAACAAUGGGCGGAAGCCUGAUGCAGCAACGCCGCGUGCGGGAUGAAGGCCGUCGGGUUGUAAACCGCUUUCGCCUGUGACGAAGCGUGAGUGACGGUAAUGGGUAAAGAAGCACCGGCUAACUACGUG